rnacentral:rRNA from 1 species
AUUGACCGCUGGCGGCAGGCCUAACCCAUUCAAGUCGAGCGAGCGGCGGACGGGUGAGUAAUGUAUGGGGACUGCCCGCUAGAGGGGGAUCACUACUGUAAACGGUAGCUAAUACCGCAUCCUAUCGGAUAACCCAUAUGGGAUUAGCUAGUAGGUGAGGUAAUGGCUCACCUAGGCGACUAUCCCUAGCUGGUCUGAGAGGAUGAUCAGCCACACUGGGACUUAGACACGGCCCAGACUCCUACGGAGGCAGCAGUGGGGAAUAUUGCACAAGGGGCGCAAGCAUGAUGCAGCCAUGCCGCGUGUAUGAAGAAGGCCCUAGGGUUGUAAAGUACUUUCAAUCGGGAGGCGUUACCGACAGAAGAAGCACCGGCUAACUCCGUGCCAGCAGCCGCGGUAAUUC